UACAGAGGUCUCAACCGUUGUUCGGAUUCAUUGGGCGUAAAGGGUGCGUAGGCGGUCGCGCAAGUCGGAUGUGAAAUCUCAGGGCUCAACCCUGAAACUGCGUUCGAUACUGCGUGGCUAGAGUGCUGGAGAGGAGACUGGAAUUUACGGUGUAGCAGUGAAAUGCGUAGAUAUCGUAAGGAAGACCAGUGGCGAAGGCGAGUCUCUGGACAGCAACUGACGCUGAGGCACGAAGGCCAGGGGAGCAAACGGG
rnacentral:rRNA from 1 species